rnacentral:lncRNA from 1 species
CCGUAUGUUUAAUGAAACUUAUGCUUUCUCGUUCCCAGUUGCUGCCUCUUUUAAUCCAUAAAGAAGAAAUAUAAAAGAUAGACCACUUUGUGUACAUAAGAAUUUUUGUCCUGUCUAUAGUAUAUGCCAAUAAAAACGGGAUGAACUGAACCGGCGAAGUUUGCAUCUACAUGUGGUGUAGUCAACGUUGUAAUGAUCCCAUUCACGAUUCUUUACGUGAUUAUGGGACUUUUUGGAUACUUGGCUUUCGGAGACAACACCCGAAACCCCAUCAACAUGAAUAUGCCGGACACUGGAAUGAUGGGAUAUUUGAUUCGAGCCUUAUUGACUGGCUCCCUUUUAAUGAGUUGUCUCAUUAACAAUUAUGUUUUUCAUCGAAGAACUUGGCACAACAAUUUGAAGCUCAAAUUGAGGGCAGGAAACACGUUGGCCAGUGGGAAUACGCAUUUCGAACGGUUGUGACGUGUGCCUGUUUUCUGUGUUGUAUAGCUAUUCCCCAACUUGGAGCUGGUUACGGCCCUGGUUGGUUCAUUGGUGAUGCCCGUCCUCGGAAUGUGGCUCCCCGUCAUCAUAUCCUCACUCACGUUUUGGAACAAAUACACUGGGUUUCAAUUCACUCUCUUCAUAUUCAAGAACAUUGCUCUUUUACUCACUGGUGUAUUCGCUUUUUUCUCUGUUCUGGUCACUCUUUUAGAAAUUUAUGAAUCUUUCCUCAAAUAAAAUUGAUCUGUUCGUUUCAUUACUGUGUUAUACUAAUGAACAUACUUUAUAUUCAUAAUUUGUAUAUGUUCAGGGUGAUUCAAAAGUCCCCCCCCCCCCCUCUAACAUAUUACCUGAUUGAGGCAGAGAUUUGAAUCUUGG